rnacentral:rRNA from 1 species
ACGAACGCUGGCGGCGUGCUUAACACAUGCAAGUCGAGCGGUAAGGCCCUUUCGGGGGUACACGAGCGGCGAACGGGUGAGUAACACGUGGGUGACCUGCCCUCAGCUCUGGGAUAAGCCUGGGAAACUGGGUCUAAUACCGGAUAUGACUCCAUGACGCAUGUUGUGGGGUGGAAAGCCUUGUGCGGCUGGGGAUGGGCCCGCGGCCUAUCAGCUUGUUGGUGGGGUGAUGGCCUACCAAGGCGACGACGGGUAGCCGGCCUGAGAGGGCGACCGGCCACACUGGGACUGAGACACGGCCCAGACUCCUACGGGAGGCAGCAGUGGGGAAUCUUGCGCAAUGGGCGAAAGCCUGACGCAGCGACGCCGCGUGAGGGAUGACGGCCU